AUGGGAAACCUUUUUGUUGUAGUCUGGGAUCUUUUGUGCAUUUUAUUAUUAUUUUUAAACACUUCUUUAACUCUUGAAUUAACUCAAAUGACAUAACUAAUGAUCUGAAUCGACUAACACAUGUUAGAAAGUUUUUAGUCCAUUUUAAAUUGAUACAGGUCAGGGCAGUAGGAUCGUCAAAUUGAUUCAAUCGUCAAAUUGAUUCAAUAUUCAUGGAGUUCAUGUGAAAUCGAUUACGUUCCGGACGACAUAAAACCCAAUGUGAAUUCACCAAUGAAGUCAGGGCCCACAUUCCUCACAGAGAAGCACCAUGAAGGUGUAUGAUAAGUCCUAUGUGUAUUGCCGCACAGUAGCACACCAGGAACAAUUCUAGCCGCCAUAAUCAUCUCUAAUUGCUUUGUAAUUGUUUACACGUCUGAUUGUAUAUCAAGUGUAAAAUCAAACAAUUUUUUAUUUGAUUACGAUAUAUUGU
rnacentral:lncRNA from 1 species